rnacentral:rRNA from 1 species
CCUACGGGAGGCAGCAGUGAGGAAUAUUGGUCAAUGGGCGCGAGCCUGAACCAGCCAAGUAGCGUGAAGGAUGACUGCCCUACGGGUUGUAAACUUCUUUUAUAAAGGAAUAAAGUGAGGCACGUGUGCCUUCUUGUAUGUACUUUAUGAAUAAGGAUCGGCUAACUCCGGGCCAGCAGCCGCGGUACAACGGAGGGUCCGGAGGUUAUCCGGAUUUAUUUGGGUGAAAGGGAGCGCAGACGGCGCAGCAAGCCAGGCGUGAAAGCCCGGGGCCCAAACCCGGGACUGCUCUUGGAACUGCGUGGCUUGAGUGCACGAGGGGUAGGCGGAAUGCGUGGUGUAGCGGUGAAAUGCGUAGAUAUCAGGAAGAACCCCGGUGGCGAAGGCGGCAUGCUGGCGUGCAACUGACGUUGAGGCACGAAAGCGUGGGGAGCAAACAGGAUUAGAUACCCGAGUAGUC